ncrna:Acinetobacter lwoffii SH145 nhaA-I RNA
GGGUGUCUAGCUAAGCUAAGGCAGGUGUUAGUUGUAGUCGGGCCGCUACAA